rnacentral:rRNA from 1 species
AUUGAACGCUGGCGACAUGCCUUACACAUGCAAGUCGAACGGCAGCACGGGUGCUUGCACCUGGUGGCGAGUGGCGAACGGGUGAGUAAUACAUCGGAACAUGUCCUGUAGUGGGGGAUAGCCCGGCGAAAGCCGGAUUAAUACCGCAUACGAUCUACGGAUGAAAGCGGGGGCCCUUCGGGCCUCGCGCUAUAGGGUUGGCCGAUGGCUGAUUAGCUAGUUGGUGGGGUAAAGGCCUACCAAGGCGACGCUCAGUAGCUGGUCUGAGAGGACGACCAGUAAAACUGGGACUGAGACACGGCCCAGACUCCUACGGGAGGCAGCAGUGGGGAAUUUUGGACAAUGGGCGAAAGCCUGAUCCAGCAAUGCCGCGUGUGUGAAGAAGGCCUUCGGGUUGUAAAGCACUUUUGUCCGGAAAGAAAUCCUUGGCCCUAAUACGGUCGGGGGAUGACGGUACCGGAAGAAUAAGCACCGGCUAACUACGUG